AACCUGCCCACUGAGGAUUUAAAUGGCCGCGGUAUUUUGACCGUGCAAAGGUAGCAUAAUAAUUAGUUUUUUAAUUGAAAGCUGGAAUGAAAGGUUGGAUGAGAAAAUGACUGUCUCUAUUUAGAUUAAUUAAAAUUUUAUUUUUAAGUAAAAAAGCUUAAAUGAAAAUAGAAGACGAGAAGACCCUAUAGAGUUUUAAAUUAGUUGGGGUGAUUGAAAAAUUUAGUAAACUUUUUUUUUAUAAAACCAUUGAUUUAUGAAUAAUUGAUCCUUUAUUAAAGAUUAAAAGAAAAAAUUACCUUAGGGAUAACAGCGUAAUUUUUUUAGAGAGUUCAAAUCGAAAAAAAAGAUUGCGACCUCGAUGUUGGAUUAAAAUUAAGUCUUGGUGUAGAAGCUAA
rnacentral:rRNA from 1 species